rnacentral:lncRNA from 1 species
GGAGAACGAGUAGUUGUGGUAUCUCAUGGGGGUGCAAUCAGAGCACUUCACAGGCGGGCUUCCCCGCAUAGGCGGUCUAAAAGUAAGAUCUGGAAUACAUCUGUUGGUAUACUUCACUUAUCUGAUAAGGAUGAAUGGACUAUUAAACUCUGGGCCGACAUAAGUCAUCUCAACAAGACAGGAUUUCUGCACUCAGGUUUUGGUGGGGAGAAAACUUCGGGUUGAUUUUGCAUUUUGCAUUCCACUCUUAACAGUCUGAUAAGGAUGAGUGGACUAUUAAACUCUGGGCCGACAUAAGUCAUCUCAACAAGACAGGAUUUCUGGACUCAGGUUUUGGUGGGGACAAAACUUCGGGUUGACUUUGCAUGCCACUCUCAGC